rnacentral:misc_RNA from 1 species
CAACCCUCAAGCUCCCCGGAGUUUGGCGUUGGGGCGCCUGGAGUUUUUCAACCUCAGGGCCCUCAAGUCCAUCGGCGGGACCGCCCGGACACUGAGCGCAGUAGUACUAUUUCGCUCGGUGGAAUCAUCCGCGGCAGGUCGAUCCGGCCGCUAAACCCCCCCAAAUCUAACCAAA